rnacentral:lncRNA from 1 species
GCGAGUAACUGAUUUCGAUAAUGAGAUCAAUAAAGCAUUGUUGAUUCAGUAGUGGGGAUCAUUGACGAUUAUGGCAGUCUCUAGUUCAGAAGAGGGGACCAGGAGCGAGUAUGGACGGAAAUUAAUAACAUAUCUCUGAUUUCCAAAUCGGUAACGCGUGCAUGUAAAGUUGAGUAAUGGGUACAUUUGCAUACAUACCUGCAUGUGUGAUUGAGUGAUAAUUAUGAUUGUUUAUUGUUGUGAAUAAGCGUGUGAUUGAUGAUUGUAAUAAAUAU